CAUUCAGUCCCAUUCGUGGCCCCAUUCAGUCCCAUUCGUGGCCCUAUUGGUGGCCCCAUUCAGUCCCAUUGGUGGCCCUAUUGGUGGCCCUAUUGGUGGCCCCAUUGCUGUCCCCAUUCAGUCCCAUUGGUGGCCCCAUUGGUGGCCCCAUUGGUGGCCCCAUUCAGUCCCAUUGGUGGCCCCAUUGUUGGCCCCAUUCAGUCCCAUUGGUGGCCCUAUUGGUGGCCCUAUUGGUGGCCCCAUUGCUGUCCCCAUUCAGUCCCAUUGGUGGCCCCAUUGGUGGCCCCAUUGGUGGCCCCAUUCAGUCCCAUUGGUGGCCCUAUUGCUCGCCCCAUUGGUGUUCUCAUUCAGUCCCAUUGGUGUCCCCAUUGGUGGCCCCAUUCAGUCCCAUUGGUGUCCCUAUUGCUCGCCCCAUUGCUGGCCCCAUUCAGUCCCAUUGGUGGCCCUAUUGCUCGCCCCAUUGGUGUUCUCAUUCAGUCCCAUUGGUGUCCCCAUUCAGUCCCAUUGGUGGCCCCAUUCAGUCCCAUUGGUGUCCCUAUUGCUCGCCCCAUUGGUGUUCUCAUUCAGUCCCAUUGGUGUCCCCAUUCAGUCCCAUUGGUGGCCCCAUUGGUGUCCCCAUUCAGUCCCAUUGCUGUCCCCAUUCAGCCCCAUUGGUGGCCCCAUUGCUGUCCCCAUUCAGUCCCAUUGGUGGCCCCAUUGGUGGCCCCAUUCAGUCCCAUUGGUGGCCCCAUUGGUGUCCCCAUUCAGUCCCAUUGCUGUCCCCAUUCAGCCCCAUUGGUGGCCCCAUUGCUGUCCCCAUUCAGUCCCAUUGGUGGCCCCAUUGGUGGCCCCAUUCAGUCCCGUUGGUGGCCCUAUUGGUGUCCCCAUUGGUGUCCCCAUUCAGUCCCAUUGGUGGCCCCAUUGGUGGCCCCAUUCAGUCCCAUUGGUGGCCCCAUUCAGCCCCAUUGGUGGCCCCAUUGCUGUCCCCAUUCAGUCCCAUUGGUGGCCCCAUUGGUGGCCCUAUUGGUGGCCCCAUUGCUGUCCCCAUUCAGUCCCAUUGGUGGCCCCAUUGGUGGCCCCAUUCAGUCCCAUUGGUGUCCCCAUUUGUGGCCCCAUUCAGUCCCAUUGGUGGCCCCAUUGCUUCCCAUUGGUGGCCCCAUUGCUGGCCCUCCAGUGUCCCCACAGCCGUCCUUCACAUCCCCAUUCAUGGCCCCAUUCAUGGCCCCAUAUCCCCAGCGAUGUCCCCACGUCCCCAUUCAUGGCCCCAUUCAUGGCCCCAUUCAUGGCCCCAUAUCCCCAGCGAUGUCCCCACGUCCCCAUUCAUGGCCCCAUAUCCCUAGCGAUGUCCCCAUAUCCCCACGUCCCCAUUCAUGGCCCCAUAUCCCCAACGAUGUCCCCAUGUCCCCAUUUGUGUCCCCAUAUCCCCAACGAUGUCCCCAUUCAUGUCCCCAUAUCCCUAUGUUCCCAAUGAUGUCCCCAUUCAUGUCCCUUAUCCCCAACGAUGUCUCCAUGUCCCCAUUUGUGUCCCCAUAUCCCCAACGAUGUCCCCAUUCAUGUCCCCAUAUCCCCAACGAUGUCCCCAAUGAUGUCCCCAUUCAUGUCCCCAUAUCCCUAUGUCCCCAAUGAUGUCCCCAUUCAUGUCCCCAUAUCCCCAACGAUGUCCCCAUUCAUGUCCCCAUAUCCUCAUGUCCCCAAUGAUGUCCCCAUUCAUGUCCCCAUAUCCCUAUGUUCCCAAUGAUGUCCCCAUUCAUGUCCCCAUAUCCCCAACGAUGUCCCCAUGUCCCCAUUCAUGUCCCCAUAUCCCCAACGAUGUCCCCAUUCAUGUCCCCAUAUCCCUAUGUUCCCAAUGAUGUCCCCAUUCAUGUCCCCAUAUCCCCAACGAUGUCCCCAUGUCCCCAUUCGUGUCCCCAUAUCCCCAACGAUGUCCCCAUGUCCCCAUUCAUGUCCCCAUAUCCCCAUGUCCCCAAUGAUGUCCCCAUUCAUGUCCCCAUAUCCCCAACGAUGUCCCCAUGUCCCCAUUCAUGUCCCCAUAUCCCCAACGAUGUCCCCAUUCAUGUCCCCAUUCAUGUCCCCAUAUCCUCAUGUCCCCAAUGAUGUCCCCAUUCAUGUCCCCAUAUCCCUAUGUUCCCAAUGAUGUCCCCAUUCAUGUCCCCAUAUCCCUAUGUUCCCAAUGAUGUCCCCAUUCAUGUCCCUUAUCCCCAACGAUGUCCCCAUGUCCCCAUUCGUGUCCCCAUAUCCCCAACGAUGUCCCCAUGUCCCCAUUCAUGUCCCCAUAUCCCCAUGUCCCCAACGAUGUCCCCAUUCAUGUCCCCAUAUCCCCAACGAUGUCCCCAUGUCCCCAUUCAUGUCCCCAUAUCCCCAACAAUCUCCCCAAUCAUGUCCCCAUUCAUGUCCCCAUAUCCCCAUGUCCCUCUGUCCCCAACGAUAUCCCCAGUGCUGUCCCCAUAUCCCCACUGAACCCCCAUUGACUCCCACUGAACCCCAUUGAAUCCCAUCAAAUCCCUUUGAACCCCAUUGACUCCCACUGAACCCCAUUGACUCCCAUUGAAUCCCUUUGAACCCCAUUGAUUCCCAUUGAACCCAAUUGACCCCCAUUGAACCCCCAUUGACUCCCAUUGAAUCCCUUUGAGCCCCAUUGAAUCCAUUUGAACCCCAUUGACUCUCAUUGAAACCCAUUGAACUCCCAUUGAACCCCAUUGAAUCCUACUGAACCCCCACUGAAACCCAUUGAACUCCCUUUGAACCCCAUUGAACCCCACUGAAUCCCAAUUGAAUCCCCAUCAAAUCCCUUUGAACCCAUUGACUCCCAUUGAAUCCCUUUGAACCCCAUUGAUUCCCAUAGAACCCAAUUGACCCCCAUUGAACCCCCAUUGACUCCCAUUGAAUCCCUUUGAGCCCCAUUGAAUCCAUUUGAACCCCAUUGACUCCCAUUGAAACCCAUUGAACUCCCAUUGAACCCCAUUGGAUCCUACUGAACCCCAUUGAACCCCAUUGAACUCCCACUGAAUCCUACUGAACCCCCAUUGAAACCCAUUGAACUCCCACUGAACCCCACUGAGUCCCAUUGAACCCCACUGAGUCCCAGUGAACCCCCAUUGAACCCCCAUUGACCCCCACGGACUCCCACUGAACCCCCAUAGAACCCCCAUUGAACCCCACUGAGUCCCAUUGAACCCCCAUUGACCCCCAGGGACCCCCAUUGACCCCCAUGGACUCACAUUGACCCCCACUGAGUCCCACUGAACCACCAUUGACCCCCAUUGAGUCCCAUUGAACCCCACUGAGUCCCACUGAACCCCCAUUGCCCCCCAUUGAACCCCCACUGAACCCCACUGAGUCCCAUUGAACCCCCAUUGCCCCCCAUUGAACCCCCAUUGACCUCCACAGACUCCCAUUGAACCCCCAUUGACCCCCAUUGAGUCCCACAGACUCCCAUUGAACCCCACUGAGUCCCAUUGAACCCCCAUUGCCCCCCACUGAACCCCCAUUGAACCCCACUGAGUCCCAUUGAACCCCCAAUGCCCCCCAUUGAACUCCCAUUGACCCCCACAGACUCCCAUUGAACCCCCAUUGACCCCCAUUGAGUCCCAUUGAACC
ensembl:lncRNA